UAGGGAAUCUUCGGCAAUGGACGAAAGUCUGAUCGAGCAACGCCGCGUGAGUGAAGAAGGGGCUCGGAUCGUAAAACUCUGUUUUUAGAGAAGAACAAGUACUUCAGUAACUGAACGUCCCCUGACGGUAUCUAACCAGAAAGCCACGCCUAACAACGUGCCAGCAGCCGCGGUAAUACGUAGGUGGCAAGCGUUGUUCGGAUUUAUUGGGCGUAAAGCGAGCGCAGGUGGUUUCUUAAGACUGAUGUGAAAGCCCGCGGCUCAACCGGGGAGGGUCAUAGGAAACUGGGGUACUUGAGUGGAGAAGAGGAGAGUGGUAUUCCAUGUGUAGCGGUGAAAUGCGUAGAUAUAUGGAGGAACACCAGUGGCGAGGGCGGCUCUCUGGUCUGUUACUGACGAAGAGGCUCGAAAGCGGGGGGAGCAAACAGG
rnacentral:rRNA from 1 species